rnacentral:rRNA from 1 species
UACGUAGGGUGCAAGCGUUGUCCGGAAUUAUUGGGCGUAAAGAGCUCGUAGGCGGCUUGUCGCGUCGGCUGUGAAAACCUGGGGCUCAACCCCGGGCCUGCAGCCGAUACGGGCAAGCUAGAAUUCGGUAGAGGAGACUGGAAUUCCUGGUGUAGCGGUGAAAUGCGCAGAUAUCAGGAGGAACACCAGUGGCGAAGGCGGGUCUCUGGGCCGAAAUUGACGCUGAGGAGCGAAAGCGUGGGGAGCAAACAGG